CCUACGGGCGGCAGCAGUGAGGAAUAUUGGUCAAUGGACGAGAGUCUGAACCAGCCAAGUAGCGUGAAGGAUGACUGCCCAAUGGGUUGUAAACUUCUUUUAUAUGGGAAUAAAAUGUUCCACGUGUGGGAUUUUGUAUGUACCAUAUGAAUAAGGCACGGCUAACUCCGUGCCAGCAGCCGCGGUAAUACGGACGAUCCGAGCGUUAUCCGGAUUUAGUGGGUUUAAAGGGCGAGUAGGUGGAUUGUUAAGUCAGUUGUGAAAUUUUUCGGCUCAACCGUAAAAUGGCAGUUGAAAAUGGCAGUCUUGAGUACAGUAGAGGUGGGCGGAAUUCGUGGUGUAGCGGUGAAAUGCUUAGAUAUCACGAAGAACUCCGAUUGCGAAGGCAGCUCACUGGACUGCAACUGACACUGAGGCUCGAAAGUGUGGGUACCAAACAGGAUUAGAUACCCUAGUAGUC
rnacentral:rRNA from 1 species